rnacentral:lncRNA from 1 species
CAUCCGCAAAUCAGGUACAUGCCGCACAUCCUUUAGAACCAAUGUGCAUCCGACAUUUGUCUUGAUACAAAUGUCACCAAUCCCCGCAAUCUUAGAGUGACUCGUGUUACCCAUUAUCACUGUGCGGAAAUCACCUGCUACAUAUCUGCAAAAAAGAUCUCUUACUGGUGUGGCAUGAUAAGAUGUCGCUGUGUCAACCACACAUUCCGACUCUGGAGCAGACAGGUGCAUGCAUUCCUCUUCCUCAUUUAUAAAGAGGACAACAUUAUCAUUGUUUUGCACACUUACCGGUGUGGCAUGGUAAGAUGCCGAUGUGUCAACCACCCAUUCCGACUCUAGACCUGACCGGGGCAUGCAUUCAUCUUCCUCAUUUUUAAAGAGGACAACAUUAUCAUUGUUUUGCACCAUGGCGGUUGUGUUGUCGUCAUUCUUCUGGCCACUAGUUUCACCUUUGCCCUUCCUUGGAUUUGGGCAGUCUCUUUUGAAGUGAUCUGGUUGAUCACAGUUGUAGCAAUUUCUGGCUUUUGAUUUGGAUCGAUUUUUUGAAUUUCCACGAGCUCCGGAUCUACCAUAGUAGCUCGAACUCCUUUAAUAACUCCUGCCUCUACAUAAGAGCUUGUCCUUGAUUUUCAGGCUUCUUUCUCAUUUUCUCAUUGAGUAAAAGAGCCGAUGUGACAUCUUUCAACUCAAUAGUAGUCUUACCAUGCAGGAUGGUUGUUGCCAAAUUAUCGUACGAAGUGAUCACAGUU